AGAGAGAGAGAGAGAGAGAGGGAUCAAAAUCCUUGCAUAUAUAUCUUUUCUCUUUGGGUUUUCGGUUAAUUACACUUCUAAUAUAUAUGACACCCUUUUGAUGAGACUUUCUUUCACCUGGGUUCGUUCAUAUAUACAGCUCAAUUUUUGAGCCAAGUCAACUGAGAAAGAGAACUUCUUUGACACGUUAGAGAAGAUGGCUGAAGAAGCAAUCUCAGGUAAUGGUGGUUUUGUUCAAAACCCAGUUAGUGGAUCUAAUCUUCCCGCUGUAAAGAAGAAGAGAAACCUACCAGGAACACCAGAUCCUGAAGCCGAAGUCAUAGCCUUGUCACCAAAAACUCUCAUGGCCACUAACAGAUUCUUGUGUGAAAUAUGUGGCAAAGGCUUCCAAAGAGAUCAGAAUCUACAACUCCAUCGCCGUGGACACAACCUCCCAUGGAAACUCAAGCAGAGGACUUCUAAGGAAGUAAGAAAGCGAGUCUACGUCUGCCCAGAAAAGACUUGUGUCCAUCACCACCCUUCUAGGGCUCUUGGAGACCUAACUGGUAUAAAGAAGCACUUCUGCAGAAAACAUGGGGAGAAGAAAUGGAAGUGCGAGAAG
rnacentral:misc_RNA from 1 species